rnacentral:rRNA from 1 species
GAUGAACGCUGGCGGCAUGCCUAAUACAUGCAAGUCGAACGAGAGGAAGGAAAGCUUGCUUUUCUGAAUCUAGUGGCGAACGGGUGAGUAACACGUAGGUAACCUGCCCAUGUGCCCGGGAUAACUUCUGGAAACGGAUGCUAAAACCGGAUAGGUAGCAGACAAGCAUUUGACUGCUAUUAAAGUGGCCUUGGCCAUGAACAUGGAUGGACCUGCGGUGCAUUAGCUGGUUGGUGAGGUAACGGCCCACCAAGGCGACGAUGCAUAGCCGGCCUGAGAGGGCGGACGGCCACAUUGGGACUGAGACACGGCCCAAACUCCUACGGGAGGCAGCAGUAGGGAAUUUUCGUCAAUGGGGGGAACCCUGAACGAGCAAUGCCGCGUGAGUGAGGAAGGUCUUCGGAUCGUAAAGCUCUGUUGUAAGAGAAAAACGGCACUCAUAGGGAAUGAUGAGUGAGUGAUGGUAUCUUACCAGAAAGUCACGGCUAACUACGUG